CUCUGGUAUUGGUGCUGCAGCUGGUGUUGUGAAUCAGGCCGACGAGCAGCGCAUCUCUUACCCGGCGAUUUCACGACACAGGUGCAUCAUACCCAUCUUCU
rnacentral:pre_miRNA from 1 species